rnacentral:rRNA from 1 species
CGCCGCUGCUAAAGCGGAGGAAGGAAUGGGCAACGGUAGGUCAGUAUGCCCCGAAUAUCCCGGGCUACACGCGAGCUACAAUGGUUGGUACAAUGGGUAUCUACCCCGAAAGGGGACGGGAAUCUCCUAAAACCAAUCUUAGUUCGGAUUGAGGGCUGCAACUCGCCCUCAUGAAGCUGGAAUCCGUAGUAAUCGCGUUUCAACAGAACGCGGUGAAUACGUCCCUGCUCCUU